GAGGAAAGCGCAGAGGGAAUAAAGCAGAGCGGAGGACUGACUGCAGGGAAGCGACCCCCCGACGAAGGAGUAGGAGACGCUUAACCCCGCAACGGCUACGAGGCUCACGGAGACCCUAGCCCAGAGACUCGAUCGCUUGUGUUAAACUGAUUGUUAAAUAAACGCCGUGAACUGAGAAAAUGGCGUUCGCGACACCGGGGGGCCUCUAUCAGUACACCGUCCUCCCCUUCGGCGUUCACGGGGCGCCGGCCACCUUCCAGAGGAUGAUGGACCAGCUCCUGCGACCCCACCAGGCCUACGCUGCGGCCUACAUAGAGGAUAUCAUUAUCAACAGCGACAGCUGGGACGUCCACGUCAGGCAGCUGCGGGCCGUGCUGGGGGAACUGCGGAAGGCGGGCCUCACAGCCAACCCGGCCAAGUGCCGACUGGGCUGGAGGAGACGGCCUACCUGGGGUACCGGGUAGGACGGGGGAGCAUCCGGCCGUAGGAGAGCAAGGUGGCGGCCAUCCGGGACUGGCCCCGCCCCUCGACCAAGAAAUAGAUGCUGAUACAAAAGCUCUUUUUCGUUGUGCGUGUGUUGGACCUUGAAGUUCAGCUGUCCCCUUAACUUAUAACGUCCCUCCCUUUCAGAAAACAUUGCCUGUAUGUUUUUUGGUAGCGUAUCAUUUCUGGCUUUGAAGAUUGUUUAGGCAGUUUUGAAUUCAACCAGAUCAGGAAAUUUGAGAGCUUUGGACUGUAUGAAUAGUUGAUUAGUAUGUUCAUGAUAAGUUACAUUAUGGAUUAUUCUAAUGGCUCGCUUCUGAAGAAUACACAACGGUUGUAAAGAGCUUUUGUAUGUGUUUCCCCAGAUUUCUGAACAGUAAUACAAAUAUGGUAAUAUUAAUGAGUUAUAACGAAUAUGGAGUGAUUUAUUAUUCAGGAAGUGCUUGGCUUUGCACAGGACUGAGAUGCUUCUUGAUAGUUUGGUUUGUAUGUGUUUUAUAUGAGGUUUCCAGCAAAUUUUGUCGUCAAUGAUUGCCACCAGAAAUUUGUUUUCAUAUACCCUUUCUAAGUUUACACCCUCUAUUUGUACCUCAAUGUUUUCCGAUUUUUUACAGUUUCCAAAUAUCAUAAUUUUAGUUUUAUUUAGGUUUAGAGAUAACUUAUUUCUGUCAAACCAUUUUUUUAGUCUACUAAUCUCUACGGUCAAUGUGGACAGAAGUCGCUGCAAAUUUUCCCCAGAAACCAGUAUAUUUGUGUCAUCUGCAAAAAGUAUGAAUUUCAGAGAUUUCGAUACGUUGCAAAUAUCAUUGAUAUACAUGUUAAAUAACAUUGGUCCCAGCACUGACCCCUGCGGAACCCCACACACAAUGUCCAAGCAUUCUGACUUAAAUCCAUCCAUCAUCACAAAUUGUUGCCUUCUCUCUAAAUAGCUCCUCACCCAAUUCAAAACUACCCCCCGGAUCCCAUAUUGUUCUAGUUUUGUAAUUAAUAUAUUGUGAUUUAUAGUAUAAAAUGCUUUUUUUAAGUCUAUAAAUGUCACAAUCACAAAUUUCUUAUUGUCCGUGGCGUUAGUGAUUUCUUCUGUGAGUUCUGUUAAGGCUAGUGCUGUUGACAGGUUUGUUCUGAAUCCAUAUUGACUGUCGGUGAGUAAUUUGUAUUUAUCUAUGAAUUUGCAUAAUCUGUCAUUAAAGAGUUUUUCAAGAAUUUUAGAAUUUUUUUAUAAUUUUCGCUGAAAUACUGGGGGUAAGUGAUAUGUCUCGGGGUAUCUCUAAUCACAUUAUUUAAUAUGGUCCAUAUGCUUUUAAUAUUAUUUUUAUUAUUUUCAAAUAUUGUACUAUAAUAUUCUUUUUUACAUAUUCUGAUAAUACUUGUUAACUUAUUUUUGUAUUUCUUAUAUUUAUUUUCUGCUUCCUUAGUUCUUUGUUUGACAAAUUCUCUAUAUAGAGUGUUCUUUUUUUUACAAGCAUUUUGUAAUCCUUUUGAGAUCCAUGGGUCAUUUGUAUAUGUUUAUUUUUUCUGCUGUCUUCCCUAACUGGACAAUUUUUAUCAUAUAACUGUUUGAAAGAUUUCCCAAACUUAUCAUAUGCUAUAUUCACAUCAUUUUCUUUAUAUUUUGAGUCCCAGUCAUAUGCAAUCAAAUUGUUUUCUAAUGCAAUCAUAGAUUCCUCUGUUCUGACUCGUCUGUAUUGUGGUCUGAUGUCUUUGGAGUUUUUUUUGUAGUUGCAGUUAUAGACAUUAAAUACAGGUAAAUGGUCAGUGAUGUCAUUUAUUAAUAAUCCACUUAUCAUGUUGUUAUCUAGGACGUUUGUGAAAAUGUCAAUUAACGUGGCACAGUGUGAGGUGAUUCGACUGGGUCUAGUUAUUUUAGGGUACAGACUGAGACUGUAUAAGGUGUUAAUGAAUUCGUCUGUCAUUCUGUGCUUGUUUGGGUUCAGAAGGUCAAUAUUGUAGUUUCCGCAGAUAAACAUGGUUUUAUGGUUUGUUUUUGUACAUUUUUCUGCAACCCAGUUAAUGAAAGAAUCUAUAUUGGAGCCUGGAGUUCUGUACAUGCAACUCACAAUGAUGUUUUUCUUUUUUUCCAUUAAUAAUUCAAUUGUAACACAUUCAAAAACAUCAUUUAUCACUGUUGACAUGUUCUCUACUACCUUGUAGGUGAGAUUUUUAUCUACAAACAAAGCCACACCACCUCCAUUCUUGUUUUCUCUGUUUUUACAAAUCAUUUCGUACCCUUCGUACCCACUCAAAGUCCAUGCCCCUUUCAUUGUUAAUCCAGGUUUCUGUAAUGGAAAUAAUGUUGAAUGGCUGCGAGAAUUGUCAGAGGUAAUACUUUAUGUUGUGAAAAUUGGCAUACAGGCUUCUGCUAUUGAAAUGAAUGAUUGAAAGUUUAUGACUGGUCUUGAUG
ensembl:lncRNA